rnacentral:lncRNA from 1 species
UGGGAAUUGUACUUAUUAGGAGAGGGACAAAGUGCGUGACUGAGCCGCAGGCUCACCUCAGCCAGUCAAAAGGACUUGGGCACUGCCUCAUUCAAGCCACCUUGGAGCAGACGUGGCUACGCUCCCAGCAGCCCUGUACCCAUCAGCCACUGAAGAUCUCAGCUCUCGUCUGCCUUGCAAAGCUCACUGCAUCUGAGUCUUGGGCUCCUGGUCCAUUGCUUAAAAAGUUACUGUCACACAAAGUCGAAAGCAGACAGUUCCUCUUGACCUGGAAGUGUCCAAGUCAGCACCACAGCUGGUUAAGGCAGCCCCUCUCUCUUUCCUCCUCUUAUUUUCUUGGCCUUAAGUCUGCUUAGGACUCCUGGAAAAUCAGGUUAAGGGAGAUCAGUUGUGUUCAUCAUUUUAAUACAAUGUUUAUUGAUCCACAGAUGUGUGCCGAUUGCUGGGAUAAAGAGAUAACUAAGAUUAGUCUUCCUAAGCCCUGCUUUCCUCAGUCAUAAACAGAACAAUGAUCAAAGCAAUGGUCACAAUAGUGCCUGGGGUGGCUGUCAUCUCUAUGAGGCCUGGGUGCGCUGAUGCCAUUCCUGCAAAGGGCAGGCUCAGACAAUGGCAGUGUUGAUUACAGAGUGAUGGCUGCAGCUGCAGACAGCUAUUUGGCAAAUGCUAUGAACUAUCCCUGAUCUGCCCAGGGGAGGCGUGUCUGACCCUUCACCAUUAGAAAUCAACUUAAUGGACUGUCCUGGAAAGGCAGUCAGUCUAGUCUAAACAGGACAAGCAUGGGGCAAGAGGGACGCGUUAACUGGCAGUUGCAGAAGACAGGCUCCUGUCGGCCAGGUGUGGGCAGCUGCCGUCCCGAGAGAGACUCCUGCCACGUGUGUGAGGCUGACCGAGCCCCGCACCCCCCAGGACAUGCUCUCCUGGCUAAGCGGAUUCAGGGCUGGCCAACAAACCCAUACAGCCACUGUGGCUUCUCUGGGCCCAUCGGGGCUGUAGUUGUGUCCACCCUGCUGGAAACAGGCUGGAUCUGGCCGCACUCGUUCUGUGAAACACCCGGUGAGGUUCUGCAAGCAACAGCCUUGUCCCUGGCAUCCUGCAUUCCUAGCCACUUCCCAGAGCUGCCGCCCUGGGACCUCAGUGGCCUGAGUGGGU